rnacentral:rRNA from 1 species
AACGAACGCUGGCGGCAGGCUUAACACAUGCAAGUCGAACGCCCCGCAAGGGGAGUGGCAGACGGGUGAGUAACGCGUGGGAACAUACCCUUUUCUACGGAAUAGCUCUGGGAAACUGGAAUUAAUACCGUAUACGCCCUACGGGGGAAAGAUUUAUCGGGGAAGGAUUGGCCCGCGUUGGAUUAGCUAGUUGGUGGGGUAAAGGCCUACCAAGGCGACGAUCCAUAGCUGGUCUGAGAGGAUGAUCAGCCACAUUGGGACUGAGACACGGCCCAAACUCCUACGGGAGGCAGGGGUGGGGAAUAUUGGACAAUGGGCGCAAGCCUGAUCCAGCCAUGCGGCGUGAGUGAUGAAGGCCUUAGGGUUGUAAAGCUCUUUCACCGAUGAAGAUAAUGACGGUAGUCGGAGAAGAAGCCCCGGCUAACUUCGUG